rnacentral:rRNA from 1 species
CAAUAGCGUAUAUUAAAGUUGUUGCAGUUAAAAAGCUCGUAGUUGGAUUUCGGGGCAGCCCGGCUGGUCCGCCGCAAGGCGAGUACUGGUCAGCCGCCCUUCCUCUCGAAAGCCCCGACUGCUCUUCGUUGCAGUGGUCGGGUAGUUCGGGACGUUUACUUUGAAAAAAUUAGAGUGUUCAAGGCAGGCCUACGCCUGAAUACAUUAGCAUGGAAUAAUGGAAGAGGACCUCGGUCCUAUUUUGUUGGUUUCCAGGGCCGAAGUAAUGAUUAAGAGGGACAGUUGGGGGCAUUCGUAUUUAAUUGUCAGAGGUGAAAUUCUCGGAUUUAUGAAAGACGAACAACUGCGAAAGCAUUUGCCAAGGAUGUUUUCAUUAA